rnacentral:rRNA from 1 species
AUGCUUCUGAUCGAUCUGUUCCAAGUCGCUCUGAAUAUGUUCCUGUUUUGGAUCCUAAUGAAGUGCGCCGGUGUCAGCAUGAGAUUCAACGUGGGAAGCGGCCUAUUUAUUUAUACAACCACGGUCCAUUGGCUGGAGUCGAGGAAAUUCUCAAGCAUAAAACGGCAUCUUCUUACUCAGCAUGCUUUUAAAGAAGAUGAAGUCGAAGUGGCACGGAUGGCAGCAAUCAACAAGGAAAUUAAGUGUGUGUUGACAGAAGUUCUUCUGAAGGUUAAUGAUGAUCUUUUUAAUGAGAUCGCGGCCAAAGUUAUGAACGAAGAUGAUUCAUCAGCUGAACCAAAUGAGACCACUGGUGUCUCUAGCUCAAAGGAGCUUGGUCUGGGAGAAUCAUAA